rnacentral:rRNA from 1 species
GACGAACGCUGGCGGCGUGCUUAGCACAUGCAAGUCGAACGGUGAACGAGGGAGCUUGCUCCCUCCGGAUCAGUGGCGAACGGGUGAGUAACACGUGAGCAAUCUGCCCCGAACUCUGGGAUAAGCGUUGGAAACGACGUCUAAUACCGGAUACGACGCGGGAGGGCAUCCUCUCCGCGUGGAAAGAACUUCGGUUCGGGAUGAGCUCGCGGCAUAUCAGCUUGUUGGUGAGGUAACGGCUCACCAAGGCGACGACGGGUAGCCGGCCUGAGAGGGUGACCGGCCACACUGGGACUGAGACACGGCCCAGACUCCUACGGGAGGCAGCAGUGGGGAAUAUUGCACAAUGGGUGCAAGCCUGAUGCAGCAACGCCGCGUGAGGGACGACGGCCUUCGGGUUGUAAACCUCUUUUAGCAGGGAAGAAGCGAAAGUGACGGUACCUGCAGAAAAAGCACCGGCUAACUACGUG